GCUGAAAGGAAGGACUAUGGAGCGU
rnacentral:piRNA from 1 species